GUGGGGAAUAUUGGACAAUGGGCGGAAGCCUGAUCCAGUCAUGCCGCGUGUGUGAAGAAGGCCUUUUGGUUGUAAAGCACUUUAAGCGAGGAGGAGGCUCUUAAGGUUAAUACCCUUGAUGAGUGGACGUUACUCGCAGAAUAAGCACCGGCUAACUCUGUGCCAGCAGCCGCGGUAAUACAGAGGGUGCGAGCAUUAAUCGGAUUUACUGGGCGUAAAGCGUGCGUAGGCGGCUGAUUAAGUCGGAUGUGAAAUCCCUGAGCUUAACUUAGGAAUUGCAUUCGAUACUGGUCAGCUAGAGUAUGGGAGAGGAUGGUAGAAUUCCAGGUGUAGCGGUGAAAUGCGUAGAGAUCUGGAGGAAUACCGAUGGCGAAGGCAGCCAUCUGGCCUAAUACUGACGCUGAGGUACGAAAGCAUGGGGAGCAAACAGGAUUAGAAACCCGAGUAGUCC
rnacentral:rRNA from 1 species